rnacentral:rRNA from 1 species
CCUACGGGUGACAGCAGUGAGGAAUAUUGGUCAAUGGACGAAAGUCUGAACCAGCCAUGCCGCGUGCAGGAAGACGGCUCUAUGAUUUGUAAACUGCUUUUGUACGAGGGCAAACGGAGAUACGCGUAUCUGUCUGAAAGUACCGUACGAAUAAGGAUCGGCUAACUCCGUGGCAGCAGCCGCGGUAAGACGGAGGAUUCAAGCGUUAUCCGGAUUUAUUGGGUUUAAAGGGUGCGUAGGCUGUACGAUAAGUUAGAGGUGAAAUCCCGAGGCUCAACUUCGGAAUUGCCUCUGAGACUGUUCGGCUAGAGAGUAGUUGCGGUAGGCGGAAUGUAUGGUGUAGCGGUGAAAUGCUUAGAGAUCAUACAGAACACCGAUUGCGAAGGCAGCUUACCAAGCUACUUCUGACGUUGAGGCACGAAAGCGUGGGGAGCAAACAGGAUUAGAUACCCCAGUAGUC